rnacentral:lncRNA from 1 species
ACUCCAAAAAGAAAUUUAGAUUCAGCUGGAAAGCUUUCAUAUCAAAGAAAGAAAAGAUUAUGCUCGAAGAUGCUGAAAGGAAUUCAAAUCUCAUGGGCAAUAAGUUCACAAGUCAAUAUAGACCAUUUCAAAUAUUAUCUUUUGAAAAAAAUAAAGCAAAUAGAAAAAAAAAAGAAAAAACGAGAAAACAAGAAAACAAAUCCUGCUGAUUGGAGGAUCUAUAUAAGUUAGUCAAACAAAAGUAAAGAAAAUAAAAGAUGAGAUAGAAAUAUUCGACUAGAAAAUCUGAAAGGACUAGUUGAUAACAAGAGUAGUAUUAUGUGAAAUAGAGACUGUUUGUGCCCUUAUUAAAUGAACAAUAUUUGAUUAGAAAUUUUUGUUAAAUUUACACAUUAGUAGAAGAAGAAAACAAAUAAGAAGCAGAAUCUAUGAGAUCUACUGGAAGCAUGAUCAUUUUCUUGUAGCACUUAAGUCUAUAUCAAU